CUGUCAUUAUUCCCAGUUCACAGAUGGGGAGGUAAAAACCCAGAGCUUAAUAGCAUGUCCAAGAUCACAUAACUAUUCCACUGCUCAAAAUUACUCCUGAAGGGAUGAGGACACCAGGAUAUGCCACCGGACCACUGAAGGAAUGGUGAUGGUAUGAAGAAAGUAUUUUUAAUGAGCAGAGCCAUUGUUUGCUCUGCUCUGUCCUCACCCCUCAAGAGAAUUUCCCUUAUUAUUAUGAAAACUUUUUAUCUUAAAAGAUAUUACAUGUUAAUGGAACUGUCGUUUAACAAAUGUUUUAUAAGUGUACCAAUCAAGCACAUUGUCGAAAUAAAAGAUAUGA
rnacentral:lncRNA from 1 species